AUAAAUUACAAUAGUUAACAACUUAAAAUAUCUAAAAACAUAUCAAAAGUAUAAUCGAUUAUCUAAAUUCUAUUUGUGUUGCAUAAGUUGAGACAAAAAAAUAACAUAUACUGAGCCCGCGUUAUUUGAAAAACAACAAUAUAGACCCAUUGAAUUUUUCUUUUCUCUCUCUUUACUAAUUUAUACAUUUAUAGAGUUUAAUUUUGAUCGUGGAUUAAAUUUUUGAAAUAAAAUUAUAAUUUGGAUAAUAAAUCAUAAUAAUUGAUAAUUUAAAAUAUUUUAACAAUAUAUGCAAAAAUUAUUCUGAAAAAUGAAUUUAUUAAAUUUUAAAAUUUGAAAGAUGUCACAUUAAUUUAUAUGACUAUUGUUAUAAUAUUAAUUUAUAAAAAAUAUCCGUGUUUUACACGGACUUUUCGUGACCGGUUUGUUUAUAAUUGCUAAUAUCUUUUUAACCUGGGUAAAAAUAUCAGUUACAAAGUGAUAUGGGGAUAUUGUCGGUAGGGAAGUUAAAUGCCCCAGCAAUUUAUGUAGAAGAAAACUCAGUUGACAUAUUGGCUAAUUUAGACGAUGUGGUGAAAUUAGUUAUCCUACCAUCAAUAUGGGUUAAAAGUAACAUUAUAAUUUUGAGAUAAUUAAUUUUAUAAUAAGUCAUUCCACAAUUUUAUUCCAGUCAAAUAUGAGAUAAACUCAUUCUAAAAUUAAUCUCAAAAAUAAUUAUUCCUUAUAUCUCGUGUCAAACAAACCCUUAGUCCUUUAUGCCAUUACACUGUACUGAAUAGAGAUUCGCCAAAAUCAAAAUAAACAUGCCCCCUAAAUUAUAAGCACAAAUGACAAAAAAACUAAGCAAAACACAAACUUUUUUCUAGUGGAACCACCUCUAACUUUAUCAAUCUAAAAUGAGAAAUUUUGUAACUUUGAAAUGUAAGAUGUUGGAAAAAUUUGAUCUCUUUUUUCUGUUAAUGAGUUAGGUGCCCGUUGGUAUCCUUAAGGAGUUUAACUCCUCAUCAUAUUCGAAGUUAUGGAUUACUUCAUAGGUAUUCUUAAGGAAUUUAAUCCCCUCACCGUAUUCGAGAUUAUGGAUUACUUCCUCUCAGGAUAAAUAGAUAUAUUUAUUAUUGAUGUACUGGUACCUUAAACGUCAAUAACUUCAUCGAAUUCAAAGUCAACAACAAAUAAUACAAAGACUCUACAUUUAUUUGUAAGAAAAUAUGCAGAUGAAGUUCAUACUUUUUUUACUAAUUAAAAAUUAAUGCUAGUCCUCUGAAUUUACAACCAACAAAAAUUUGCUUAUUAUGUCUUACCGGAAAAGUCACACUUAUCUUCUAACAUAUGAUUAGAUGAAAGAACAUAUGUAAUGACCCUCGCAUUGAAACUUAGAAUUUUUUGUGCUUUGACCAUUUUGCCCUUCUCUCGUAGUUGCUCUACUCAUUUAGGAGCUGUGGAAAUGAUUGACACGGUUUUCAAUGCGUUCGAGAGGUUUUUAAAUGAAUUAGUGAUUUUGAACACCCUUAAAAAAGGGUUAGUUUGACCUCGAUUAAUAUUUUGUGAUCCGAUUUUCGAAUGAUAAUUCUAACAGUUUCAUUAGCUCUGAAAUAUUGAUUUUGGAUUGAUAGCGUGAUUGGUUCAGGUUUGUACCUUUAUUUUGCAUUUCGAUCCUUUAUUUGAAAACUAGUAAAAUCUGUCCUAAAGAAGUUUUGGGGGUUAAUUUAUUAACAAUAAUUAUUUUUUUUCAAAAAUUCGAGUCACAAUUGAGUCUGAAACAUCGAAAAUAAUCUAGUAGCAUAAUUCAUUUGUAUUCAUGGGAUUUCAAAUGAAUUUCAAGAGCCAGAUCAAAAACUUAGCCUUUUAGCUAAGUUGUUGGUGCAAAACAUCAGCUGGUGCAACCGUUUAAGCGAACAAUUCGUUUCUAAAGGGGAAGCCACUUAAGCACCAAUGGGUUGCUAUAACAGAAGCUGUUUAAGCACCCAGGGAUCUCUUUUGCGGUGACCGCUUAAGUGGUGUUCGGUUGCUUUAGCGGUGACCACUUUAGCGGCCAUUUAUCCACUAGAGUGAUGAACCUAUAUAUAAAUUCCAUUCCGCAAUUUUUCAUCAUUUUUGAAUCUUUAAACUUCGGGUUUGGGUGAUUUUUAAGGUUUUCUUCACCAUUUGACCUUCAAGAAGCUGCAAAACCUUAAUUCCUUUACUUUUCAUUGAUUUAUAUCAUCAAAAAAACUCUUUUGUCUUGAUUUCAAAGUAAAAUUUAGGUUUUUUAUGGGUAAAGCUUAUAAUGAUUUUUCUUCGAUUUGAACCCCGUUUUAAACUCGUUUUUAUGUGAAUUUUCAACUAUAGACUCCCCUUGAUAUGAGAAUCAUUAUUCUUAAAUAAAAUUUUAAUUUUACCCUUUUCGUUUUCAAACUCAAUUUUUUAACUCGUUUUGAAUUUAUCUUGUAUAGAUUCAAUAUGGCUAUCAUUAGCUUCAUUUUAACUUGUAGAUGACAUAUUGAUUAGAUUGGACACUUUUGGUGUUGAUUCUAGAUAGUUUGGCUUUCAGUUGAGGUUUUGAAUUGUGUUUGGGCUUGUUGAUCUUCAUUUAAGGCAAGUUGAGAUGUACCUUGAUUUUUUUCUAAAGUGUUUAUGUGUUGUAUGCUUGUUUAUUGUAUUUUGUACAUCUCUUAGAAUUGAGGGUCCCACUUAGAUGAAAUUACGAGCAUCUCCACGAGUAUCAGUGUCUUUAACGAAUUGUAGUUAGAUUAUUAUCUUCAGUAGUUAGUCUUACUACUUGUAAAUAUCCUUAGAAUAGAAAGUAGAUAGAUAAUCUAGUAAUUUUUAAGUAAUUGACAUUGAAUGCCUAUUUUAGAGUUUGAAUCUUGUUAGUGGUAUUUAUUGUGAUGAUUGUGAUUUAGUGCCUUGCUAGGGAGAAAUUAUAUUAUUAUCAUCAUUAUUGAUGGAAUGAUUGAGGUUUAGAGAUUGUAAUGGUUGAUGAGACUUAAUGAAUUGAUCAAGUUAGGUUUGAGUAGUUCCGUAAUAUAUUAUUAUUGAAAUUUUUAUUUAUUUCGUGUUGCCUAUGUGUGGCUUAUGUGAGCAUAUCAUGUGUCCGAGUAGAGGCUCAUAUGUAUAUGCUUAUUGAUUUGAGAGGAUAUAUUAUUUUGAUACUUGAGUGAGGUCUUGAUUUGAUGUUAUUGGUCAUGUUUGUGUAUUAAAUGUGUUAUUAUUGUUAUGUUACCCGAGUGGAGGCUUAAUUUUUCAUCAUAGGCCUUAAAUGAGCAUUAGAAAACCUUAUCUAUCACUAUGUAGCUCGAGUGGGGGGCUCGCCUUAAUAUUGUAAGACUUAUUGAGAAUUUAAUGCAUUAUUAUUAUAAUGAUGCCCGAGUGAGGGGUUGAAAAUAAUAUUAUUGAUGACUACAUGACUUUAUUCUGGUGGUACCAAAUGAAAAUUGAUAUCAUAAAUUAUUAAUACAUUGAAUUGAUUUUGAGCUCAUUUAUACAUGUAUUGAAUGGAUUUUGAUCUUCAUACUAAAUGAUUGUGAGCAUUACAUCCUCAUAUCAUGAAUGCAUAUUCAUGAGAUAUUGGUACCAUUUAGAUAUUCUAAUUUUUAUAAGAAAAUGAGACACCUUAUAAAACACCUAUACCAAGUGAUUUGCCGGUAAAAUUAGUUUCAGACAUAAAAUUGAGAUUAUAUGAGUAUAUAAAUUGCGAACACCAAUGGGUUCUACCUCUAUUCUAUCAGGAAAAU
rnacentral:lncRNA from 1 species